ACUGCGAGGCAGGCAGUGAUGCUGCGGCCGCUUCGCACUGUGGCUCCUGCCGACCGCCAGGCGCUGUUACAGUGGAUGCGAACUAACCAUGCAGCAGCAGCCGGAACCCACAGUUCACCUUGGUGCAUUCCUUUAUGAUGAAGACUUAUUGAUUCAUUAUAUGAGAAAGGAAAAAUGAGCAGAAACUACUGUAUGAUGUGCAGCUCACACCAGACAGCAACUUUAGGUGCUUCAUGCAGACAUCUGUACACCAGAUUUACUUCUGCAAAAUGCUGAUGCUAUGAAUAAUGCUUUUGAAUAUUAAUAAGGCAAAACAGACCAGAUAAGAUUAGCAUAUUCGUAGUCUGGAAAAUGCUAUACAAAGAAUGUAAAGCAUGAAACUACUUGUGGACCAAAUGAAAAACUGUGGAGCAGAUUAUGAUGCAGUUAGACCUUGCUUGAAUGACUUUGACCCACAAAAGCAGAGUAAUUUAUCCCUACUUACAGAGAGAUUGCCCUACGUGUAACAGCUGCAUACAAAAAAGUUAUAAAAUUAUCAUUGGUUUAACAAGGAUAAGUGAAAAACAUUAAAAUUCUCCAACUGAACAAGGUGUGUCUGUUUCAUUGAUUGGCUGACUGUCAAAUCGGAAUCUGAUCUGCCCCAUUGACAAUGCCUUGGGCUUUUCCUC
rnacentral:lncRNA from 10 species